rnacentral:rRNA from 1 species
AGUGAACGCUGGCGGUAGGCCUAACACAUGCAAGUCGAACGACAGCACAGUAAGAGCUUGCUCUUACGGGUGGCGAGUGGCGGACGGGUGAGGAAUACAUCGGAAUCUACUUUUUCGUGGGGGAUAACGUAGGGAAACUUACGCUAAUACCGCAUACGACCUACGGGUGAAAGCAGGGGAUCUUCGGACCUUGCGCGAUUGAAUGAGCCGAUGUCGGAUUAGCUAGUUGGCGGGGUAAAGGCCCACCAAGGCGACGAUCCGUAGCUGGUCUGAGAGGAUGAUCAGCCACACUGGAACUGAGACACGGUCCAGACUCCUACGGGAGGCAGCAGUGGGGAAUAUUGGACAAUGGGCGCAAGCCUGAUCCAGCCAUACCGCGUGGGUGAAGAAGGCCUUCGGGUUGUAAAGCCCUUUUGUUGGGAAAGAAAAGCAGCAGGUUAAUACCCCGCUGUUCGGACGGUACCCAAAGAAUAAGCACCGGCUAACUUCGU